UGCAGUCCGAGUUCAAUGCCGUGAAAAGUGAAACUGCGAAUGGCUCAUUAAAUCAGACAUUAUCUACGCCAAGAUUCCCCACAUGGAAAACCGUGACAAAUUCAGGGCUAAUACAUGCACCAAGUCCCAACUCGAGAGUGGACGUGCUCAAUAGACCCAACCAACCUUGCCGGUGAAUCAUAUGCAUCAACAGACCGCACGACGCAAGUCGGCGGCACUUGGCUCGGGUAUCUGCCCUAUCACGUUGUCGGUAGUGUAUUGGACUACCGAGCGGGUAACGGGUAACGGGGAAUUAGAGUUCGAUUCCGGAGAAAGAGCAUGAGAAACGGCUAUUACAUCCAAGGAAGGCAGCAGGCGCGCAAAUUACCCAAUGCGAUCAGCGUGAGGUAGUGACAGUACGUAGCCAUGGGGCGCACGCGAGUGUGACCUAAUGGAAAUGAGAAAAAACUAAAGCACUGAAUGAGGAACGAUUGGAGGGCAAGUCUGGUGCCAGCAGCCGCGGUAAUUCCAGCUCCAAGAGCGUAUAUGAUAGUUGUUGCAGUUAAAACGUGCGUAGUUGAAGUUGAGGUGCUCCGGCGGAUUUUGGGGUCACCCGCAAGGGUCCCCGCUGCCGGGGUCGCCUUAUUCGGGGGGAGGGUUCGCCUUCCUUCCGAUUUUACCUCGAACAAAUAAGAGCGCUUGAGGCAGGCCGUUUGGCCCGAAUUAUUAAGCAUGGAAUAACUUAUGGACAGCGAUGUCUGUUUGUUGGUUGAGAUGUUGCUGUAAUGGUUAAUAGGGGCACUCGGGGCCAACCGUACUCUCGGGCUAGAGGUGAAAUUCUGUGACCCCGGGAAGACGACCUAAUGCGAAAGCAGUUGGCAAGGGUACUUUCAUUAAUCAAGCACUAAGGUUGGGGGAUCGAAGACGAUUAGACACCGUUGUAGUCCCAACAGUAAACGAUGCCGACGCGGUCUUUGGCGCAGAGGAACCCUGCGCUGAGGGCCGUGGAGAAAUUAUGAGUCUUUGGGCUCUGGGGGGAGUAUGGUCGCAAGUCUGAAACUUAAAGGAAUUGACGGAAGGGCACAACCAGGCGUGGAGCCUGCGGCUUAAUUUGACUCAACACGGGAAAGCUCACCAGGUCAGGACAUGACGAGGAUUGACAGACUGAGCGGUCUUUCACGAUUUCAUGGGUGGUGGUGCAUGGCCGUUCUUAGUUCGUGGAUUGGUUUGUCUGGUUGAUUCCGAUAACGAGCGAGAUCGAGACCUGGGGUUGAUGACGUUAUCUACCACAACAGAAGUCAGUGGUUCUUUGAAGUGGAUCCCRAGAGACACUAAGCCGCGCGCUAGUUGUUCAACGAUUCUGGUUCAUAAACGCCAGUUCGGUUUACCCGAAUAAACAUUACAGUCGACUACGGAAGUAGAACCGUUUGGGAUUGCAUGAGUGCCGACGCUCCUGGCGGAGGUGCUUAUCUCCCUCGGGUGACUGUACCUGCUGCCGCUAGGUUGGACGGUGAUUGGUGCUCUUGCAGUCAAUCUGUCUGAUCGACGCGCACUCCUCACGGGGUGUCGUCGUCUGCGAAAGAAAAGCGCUUCAGGCUGGGACCCCACUUUGACUUUCCCUCCUUGUCUUUUUACGUUAGAGGGCGUCGUCAUCUCCAGGGACUGGCAUGCUGCAGCGCAUGUGGAGGCGCUCGGCAAUAACAGGUCUGUGAUGCCCUUAGAUGUCCUGGGCCGCACGCGCGCUACACUGACAUGGCCAAUAGGUGCUACCUUUACCGAGAGGGAUGGGGAAGCCAUUGAAACCAUGUCGUGCUGGGGAUUGAGCACUGGAAGGUGCUCAUGAACAUGGAAUGCCUUGUAAUUGUGGGUCACUAGCCCACAUUGAAUACGUCCCUGCCCUUUGUACACACCGCCCGUCGUUACUACCGAUCGAAUGGCUUGGUGAGGCGGUGGGAGGGAAGGGUGUAGUGGCUCGUCCACCGCGCUCAGCCCAAACACCUCCGAACUCGGCCAUUUAGAGGAAGUACAAGUCGUAACAAGGUUUCCGUAGGUGAACCUGCGGAAGGAUCAGGUUUAAAGAGGUCUGUGAUGCGCUUCCAAAGUGCUCCGAUCCUCAUUGACCCCUCCUCAUYGUGUUGGCCUCUCGGGGAAACACGUUAAAGAUGAAUCCCAUGCUGUUGAAAUGAUUACUUGUAAUGAAACAAUACAACCGGUAGCACUGGAUCCCUCGGCUCGUUGCUCGAUGAAGACCGUAGCCACUUGCGAUAACUGAUGUGAUAUGCAAGUUCAAAGCUUACACGUGAAUCAUCGAGUCGUUGAACGCAUUGCACCGUCCACUAAACCUGGAUGGUACGCCACCUUCAGCAUCAUUUCAUCCUUCCCUAUUUGCGUUGACUCUGAUGUCCGCAGACAGAGAGUUCGAGGUCCACAGCUGUCACGGCUGCGUUCCUUCAGAGUAAUGCGUGCUCCUUGGUGUUGCCCAUCCAUUUCAUGAACUUGAAUGGUAAGCAGCUACAAGUAGAGUGCUGCCAACUGCCUUSGGGCAAACGGACACUUUGUCCACUCUAUCCGAUUGAUCUGAGGGUGGUGAGACUACCCGCUAGACUUAAGCAUAUUAAUCAGCGGAGGAAAAGAAACUAACAAGGAUUCCCCUAGUAACUGCGAGUGAAGCGGGAUCAGCUCAAAGUGUGAAUCUGGCUGGAAACACCCCUCCGGUCCGAGUUGUGCACUAAUGACACUUGCGUCUGCGUUCGAGCGCCAUGAAUCGUCCCAUGUCGGUUGAAAUACUGCAUCAUAGAGGGUGUAAAUCCUGUGUGUGCGAUGGUGGCCGCUUACGCUCAUGACCGGUGUUCGUCGAGUCGCGUAGUUUUGUAUUGCUGCGCCAAUUGGGAGGUAGAACCCUUCUAAGGCUAAAUAUCGCAAYGAGACCGAUAGCACACAAGUACCGCGAGGGAAAGGUGAAAAGCAACCAUGGAGAAUGCGUUGAAACAGCAGUGAAAGUGCCACCGGGAUAAGGGCUAUUGGAUUCUGGUUCUCCAGCAUCGUGCUUUAGUGCUGUUGCGGAGACGGCCUGCACCAGUGACGGCGGAGGAACGACGCGUUGGGGAUUCGGCGGUUGACUUGUCGGCCGUGUUGUAACCCGGCUGCGGGCCCUUCUAAUGUCAUUUGGCUGCACUUUUCGGAGUUGCAGGUCUGGCGUCCAUUAGCCGCCCGUCUUGAAACACGGACCAAGGAGUGCACCUUACAUGCGAGUCGAAGGGGCUGUAACCCUGGAGGCGUAGCGAAAGCGACGACCGUGAAUGGCUUGCCAGGCAGCGGCGCCCACCGCUUGCGGUGAGGUUGAGCAUGCAGGGUGCGACCCGAAAGAUGGUGAACUAUGCCUGGGCAAGGUGAAGUCAGUGGAAACGCUGAUGGAGGCCUGUAGCGAUUCUGACGUGCAAAUCGAUCGCGCGACCUGGGUAUAGGGGCGAAAGACCUAACGAACCGUCUAAUGGCUGGUUCCCCCCGAAGUUUCCCUCAGGAUAGCUGCGUUCCCGUAGU
rnacentral:rRNA from 1 species